CAAGGACAUAGAUGAAGCUGGAAAACAUCAUUAUCAGCAAACUAACAUGGGAACAGAAAACCAAACACCACACAUUCUCACUCCUAAGUGGGAGUUGAACAAUGAGAACACAUGGACACGGGGGGAACAUUACACAUAAGGGCCUGUUGUGAAGGUGGGCGACUAGGGGAGGAAUAGCAUUAGGAGAAAUAUCUAAUGUAGAUGACAGGUUGAUGGGUGCAGCAAACCACCAUGGGAAGCGUAUAGCUAUGUAACAAGCCUGCACAUUCUGGACAUGUAUCCCAGAAUUUAAAGUAUAAUUAAAAAAAAAGUACGAUCAGUCUUAAAGCAAUAGUCACUGAGUUUUAUGGGUGCUUCAUCAGACUUGUAAUAUAAAUUUUGUUUAAACUAAAUAAAUUGCUAAUUUUGUAGUUUAAUAUGGUCAAAUAUUGGCUCUCUAAACCUUUACAAAACAUAGCUCUUCUGAAAUCAAAAUAAAAUAUAAUAGUGGUAAAAUUAUAAAACCCAAAUAAUUUAGAUAUAUCAAACUUGAGGUAUAACCAAUCUUCUUUUUGCAGUGUUUUAACUGUCAAUGAACUUUUUGGAAAAAAUAAAUCUCUAAUAUGAAGUAAGCAGUAGAGUGUCAGUGCCUUAGGAAAACUAGUCCUCUAUACAAAUGGAAUUUUAGCAACUGUUAUAAACAAAUUAAGAGUAAUUUAAAAUAUAUAAAUAUCAUUUAGUUCCAAGAGUAUGCCAAUCAAAUAAACCUAAUUAAUACUAUAUUAAAUAUAUUCUCCAAAUAAAUGCACUGUGUAUUUUACAAACCAUUUUAUUAUAAAAACAGUUUACGAGAGAUACUUACAUUGAAUUUUUAACAAAGGUUGUUUUUUAAUUUUAGAAAAAUAUUUUUCAAACACCUGUUUCCCACCUCCUUAUUAAAAUCUUUUGGAACAAUCUCAGUAACAUUAUUGGGCAAAUUGUGAAUUUCUUAUAUAAGGACAUGGCACAUCUAUUCAAAUGAAAAGGCUAUGUGACCGUAAGAAAAUACCUUAAUAUAUUUACCAAAAAUGUGAGAAAGACAUAGAAAGUCUUCCUGAGAUUUAUAGGCAGAGAUCAAAGAGAACAGUGGUUACUACAGUGCUCGGAUUUGUAGAGAUAGGGGCAGGCUACUGCCUGCUUAGAGGAGAAAACGCUGCAAAGUGUUCAUAUCAUAAGACUUGGAAUUGGAUAAAUCCGUGUUUGAACAUGGGCUCUGCAUUUACUAGCUAUUUAAUGACAGGCACAUUUAACCUACAUAUAUCCACUGUAUUAUCUGAUAAAUAGGGCUGAUAAUUGUAUGUAAUAAUAGUUCUCAGGUGCUUAUAGAGAUCAAAAUAGAUGAUAUAUGCAAAUUGCCUUGCACAGUGCCUGGCAAACAAUCAAAAACAUUAAUCCUCCUUAGAAUUACUUAGGAGAGGGUUUAUAAAACAAAUACAACUAGUCUGGAGAACAUUAGUGUUGUGCUUGGAUAAGACAGACCUAAGUACCGAAUCCAUACCUCCAUUUAAUUCACCCACCUCCUCAGUAGGAGAAGGAUUUUAUUUUCCUCAGUGGGAUCAGCCGUUGGAUAGUCUUUUUUCUCCCACUUUUCCCAUCCCUUUCCCCAAAUCCCACCAGCUUUCUGAUCCCUUCGUAUGAGUUUUCUACUGCUACAUCACAAAUCACAACAAACUUGACACCUAAAAACAAUACAUAUUUAUAAUGUUACAGUGUCCAUAGGUCAGGAUUCUAGGCACAGCCUUGCUGGGCUCUCUGCUCAGGGCCUCACAAAGUUGUUAUCAAGUCAUGACUGGGCUGUGAUCUCCUCUGAGACUCAGGGUCCUCAUCAAAACUCACUGGUGUUGGGAGAAUUAAGUUCCCUGUGGUUGCAGACUGAGGUCCCAAGUCCCAUGCAGUUUAUAACAUAGCUGUUUGUUUUCUUCACAGCCAGCAGUAGAAUAUUGCUUCUAUUUUGAGCCCUUUUUCUGGGGGAGGGCUGAUCAUCUUUUAAAUAGUGCACUUGAUCAGCUCAGUUCACCCAGGAGAACUAGCCUUCUGAUUAACUCAAAGUCAAUGGCUUUGGGACCAUGGUGACAUCUUCAAAAUCCCCUCAUCUAACCAUGGGAGUGAUAUGUCUCAUAUUCACAGGUCCUGUCUAUAUUGAAAAGAGAGGCUUAUACUGGGCAUUUAUGCCAAAGGGUUAUAAUUUUGGAUACUACAUUAGAAUUUUGCCUUCCAUACCUCGAAUCUAUUUCAACUAAAUAAAGGGCGUUUCAUUUGGCAAUAUGGAUAAGAUUUUAAUGCUAAGGCUCAAUAAAGGCAGUAACAUGAUAUGAUCAAGAUGCAACUUAGGUAUCAUCAGUUAAUACAUUCUGAACAGAGCCUCCUAUUCGGUAUUAGAAAUUGAAUAAUAAGGGAAAGAAGUUGGUCUGGAGAUAACUGUUUAAUAUUUCCAGUGUGAAAAGAGAGACAGAAAAAGAAACCUUGCCUCUUGUCCAAAUGAAGAAAAAUUUCAAAUACCUACUGCAAAUUUAUUAGGAGUCCAUCAAGUUUACCUUCCAAUGCCUUGGGGCUGAGAGAGCUGAACAUUAGGGGUCUCGAUCAAGCAGCUGGUAAAAAAAAAUACAUAAUUACAAACAUUUUCUUUUUUCUAAAAUAUAAUUCUUACAGCUCUCCAAAAGAAAAAGUUUCAUUAAAAUGAGGCAUCGCUGCAUUUAUUCAUGGAUUCUUAUAUUUGUUCAAAAACCUUAGUCAGUUUUAGUCUUUCAUAUACAAGAAACUAGACAUAGUACGCAGCUUUAUACCUUUGUUGAUAAAAAGAGUAUAAUUCAUAACCUCUUUCCUCAAACAGGUACACUUAAGCAAAAUUUGAGAAGAGACAAUAUGCAAACUUUUAAAUGUGAGCAACUUUUAAAAAAAGCCUUCAGAUGGUAAGCAGUGCUGUUAAGCCUUUGGCAUAGCUGUGUGGUAGGAGAGAGAAACAGAGUGGGAAUGAAACUGAUCAUUACUUAAUAGAUUCAAUAAAAAUAGAAUACAAGAAAUAGAAUUAAAUCAUAUCUAAGCAAAUUUCAAACUUAGACGUUCAUCUCAUAUACGCUAUUAAACAUUUUUAACUUUUCUUAUGCAUUAAGAGAACUAACACCAUAAGGGGAAAUAAGCACUUUGUAGCCAGAAAGAUUUACUAUGGGAUUCUUGAGGUCGCACUAGCAAAUCUGCAAAGCAAGGAUAUAUGUACCCAGUUUGCAGGAUUGAGGUUAUAAGAAACACACACACACACACACGCAGUACACAAUACACUAUACAGUGCAUAGCACAUGAAAGAGCUAUGAUAACUGAUGUAAUUAUGAGUCUUUAUAUUGCCGUUGGCAUGUAUAGAUUGUUUUAAGCAAGAAUAUGAUGGAACAGGCAUCCCCUGUAACCUGUCAUGAAAUACUGAGGAAUGUGGUAACUGCAAAAUCAUUGAGUAAAUCAAGGGAGAAGAAGGUGCAUGUUAAUUACUUGGUUUAAAGACCAUUAUAAUGUUAUUUAAUGACACAAAUAAGGCUUCCUAGGAAAACGAAAGCCAAUUCUGCUUGAGUAAAUACCUUAUUUAUUUAUACAUCCCCAUAUCCUAAAAAAAAGAUAAUAAAUCAGGAAAAAAGCAUAAAGAGAUACAUUAAACAUAAGGCUAGUAUUUGUGCUGCAAACGAAAUUUGUAUUUAGCAUUGGCCUUCUUGGCAGCCAAAAACAAUGGAAGAAAAUAAUACAUUUUAAGAAAUGAAAACUUUUUAUGGACUUUAUUCAGAUAGUAUUAUCUCCUAUUUUUAUUUAUAUGUUAGUGUAUUGCUAAAGGUAUUUUCAUUUUUUGUGGUCUCUAUGAAGGACUAUUAAUUUCAGCAUAAUAUUAAAAUACAACUCACUGAAGGAGAUUUGUUCAGUGAAUGAGGCCUUCUCUUGUGGAAACAAUCUUUUUCCUUCAUGUUAUACCUCUGUUUUUAAAAUUCAGCAACAAAGAGCCAUUCAAAGUAGUCAAAGCAAUUUAAAGUUUUAGCCAAUAGAUGAGAAAAUACACAUACAAUGAAAAUCAACAUUAUACAGAUACCAUUUGCAGCUGUUGGUUCUGUACAGGUUCCCAUGUACAAAAGAUUUGCCUACAAUCUCAGAGUCAAGAAAAUUCGGUUCAAAUCCAGCUAUGCUAAAGUGAGUGUAGGCUGAUCACUUAUUGGAUAGUUACUUAACAGCCUUUAAAUGAAGAAAUUGUACUAUAUUGAUGUCAAUGCCGGCAACAAGGCCUAGCACAGAGGAUAUACUCCACAAAUAUGUUUAAGAAUGGAUACUAUCCUCUGUGGUGACAGUGAUCUUAUUUAACCAGUUUGGUGGCUAAGAAGAGUUAGUUGAUACAAAUAUUUGGUAUUUAUUGAUUAGAAAAGGGGAGGUGGUAACAACAAAAGCCCAAAGCAUGUAUCAGGGUUUCUCAACCUAGGCACGCUUAAUAUUUUGAAUCAGAUAACUCUUUGUUGUGGGGGGCUGUCCGUGCAUUGCAGAACACUCAGCAGCAUCACUGGCUUCUGCCCACUAGAUGCUAGUGACAUCUCAAGUUGUGACAACCAAAAAUAUCUACAAACAUUUUGACCCCAUUUGAGAAACACAGGCAUAUACAAACUUGUGUGUGUGUGUGUGUGUGUGUGUGUGUGUGUGUGUGUGUGUGUGUGUGUGUGUGUGUGUGUGUGUGUGUUGUAGCACCAAACAUGAAACCUCUCCUCUAUCCUCAUCUCUACCCGCUUUUUGGUAGGUAGAGAGGCAGAUGGACUCAAUGAAAGAUAAUUAAAACUAUGCGGAUGGUAACCAAAACUUAGAAGUUGCUAAUACAAAAGACAUGAUCUGGUUAGGAUUAUUUAGCUGUACCAAUUUCCUCUUUCCAUAUUUUACCUUCUGCCAGAAAAAGGAGGGGCCAGGACAGUGAUGGGCUGGAGGUGGCUGCAGAACUGAUUGUACACAUCUCUUCUGAACUCCACGUUCUGUGACAUAAUGUCAGCUCAAAAGUGGAAAUAUUGUCAGCAGUGGAAAUAUUCAGAGUGGGGAAAUCAGUGAAUGCCACAAAUCAGAACUUCCCCUCCACCCCCCCACAAGAGAGCC